AUUGAACGCUGGCGGCAGGCCUAACACAUGCAAGUCGAACGAGUGGCGGACGGGUGAGUAAUGUCUGGGAACCUGCCUGAUGGAGGGGGAUAACUACUGGAAACGGUAGCUACUACCGCAUACCAUCAGAUGUGCCCAGAUGGGAUUAGCUUGUUGGUGGGGUAACGGCUCACCAAUGCGACGAUGCCUAGCUGGUCUGAGAGGAUGACCAGCAACACAGCAACUGAGAAACGGUCUGAACUGCUACAGGAGGAAGCAGUGGGGAAUAUUACACAAUGGGCGCAAGCCUGAAGCAGCCAGGCCGCGUGUAUGAAGAAAGCCUUCGGGUUGUAAAGUACUUUCAGCGGAGAGGCGUUACCCGCAGAAGAAGCAACGGCUAACUCGGUGCCAGCGGCCGCGGUAAUAC
rnacentral:rRNA from 1 species